GGCUUAGGAUGAACGCUAGCUACAGGCUUAACACAUGCAAGUCGGAGGGGCAGCAGAUACGAAAGCUUGCUUUGAUGCGUGGCGACCGGCGCACGGGUGAGUAACGCGUAUCCAACCUUCCCUAUAGUAGAGAAUAGCCCGGCGAAAGUCGGAUUAAUGCUCUAUGUUGUAUUUAGAGGACAUCUGAAGAAUACCAAAGGUUUACCGCUAUAGGAUGGGGAUGCGUCUGAUUAGGUUGUUGGCGGGGUAACGGCCCACCAAGCCCACGAUCAGUAGGGGUUCUGAGAGGAACGGUCCCCCACAUUGGAACUGAGACACGGUCCAAACUCCUACGGGAGGCAGCAGUGAGGAAUAUUGGUCAAUGGACGAAAGUCUGAACCAGCCAAGUAGCGUGCAGGAUGACGGCCCUAUGGGUUGUAAACUGCUUUUAUACAGGGAUAAAGUGAGGGACGUGUCCCUUUUUGUAGGUACUGUAUGAAUAAGGACCGGCUAAUUCCGUGCCAGCAGCCGC
rnacentral:rRNA from 1 species